ACUCAAAUGAAUUGACGGGGGCCCGCACAAGCAGUGGAGUAUGUGGUUUAAUUCGACGAUACGCGAAAAACCUUACCAGGGCUUGACUUCCCUUUGAUCGUUUUGGAAACAAAACUUCCCUUCGGGGCAAAGGUGACAGGUGGUGCAUGGUUGUCGUCAGCUCGUGUCGUGAGAUGUUGGGUUAAGUCCCGCAACGAGCGCAACCCCUAUGAUUUGUUGCUACUUUCGAGAGCACUCUAAUCGAACUGCCGUUGGCAAAACGGAGGAAGGUGGGGAUGACGUCAAAUCAUCAUGCCCCUUACGCCCUGGGCUACACACGUACUACAAUGGCCGUUAACAACGGGUUACAAUAGCGCGAGCUGGAGUUAAGCCUUAAAAACGGUCUCAGUUCAGAUUGCAGGCUGAAACUCGCCUGCAUGAAGGUGAAAUUGCUAGUAAUCGCGGAUCAGAAUGCCGCGGUGAAUACGUUCCCGGGCCUUGUACACACCGCCCGU
rnacentral:rRNA from 1 species